rnacentral:rRNA from 1 species
GUGGAUUAGAUACCCGGGUAGUCCACGCCGUAAACGAUGGAUACUAGCUGUUCGGAGCAAUCUGAGUGGCUAAGCGAAAGUGAUAAGUAUCCCACCUGGGGAGUACGUUCGCAAGAAUGAAACUCAAAGGAAUUGACGGGGGCCCGCACAAGCGGUGGAGCAUGUGGUUUAAUUCGAUGAUACGCGAGGAACCUUACCAAGGCUUAAAUGUAGAUUGACCGGUUUGGAAACAGAUCUUUCGCAAGACAAUUUACAAGGUGCUGCACGGCCGUCGACAGCU